rnacentral:rRNA from 1 species
AUUGAACGCUGGCGGAAUGCUUUACACACGCAAGUCGAACGGCAGCACGGACUUCGGUCUGGUGGCGAGUGGCGAACGGGUGAGUAAUGUAUCGGAACGUGCCCAGUCGUGGGGGAUAACGUAGUGAAAAUUACGCUAAUACCGCAUACGAUCAAUUGAUGAAAGCGGGGGAUCGCAAGACCUCACGAGAUUGGAGCGGCAGAUAUCAGAUGAGGUAGUUGGUGGGGUAAAGGCCCACCAAGCCAACGAUCUGUAGCUGGUCUGAGAGGACGACCAGCCACACUGGAACUGAGACACGGUCCAGACUCCUACGGGAGGCAGCAGUGGGGAAUUUUGGACAAUGGGCGAAAGCCUGAUCCAGCCAUUCCGCGUGCAGGAUGAAGGCCCUCGGGUUGUAAACUGCUUUUGUACAGAACGAAAAGGUUUCUACUAAUACUAGGAGCUCAUGACGGUACUGUAAGAAUAAGCACCGGCUAACUACGUGCCAGCCGCCGCCGUAA